GCCAGUGUGGUAUAGUGGUUUGAGCAUUGGACUCUGACUCUGGAGAUCAAGGUCUGAAUCCUUGCUUAGCCA